CCGCCCAAGCGGUGGAUGAUGUGGAUUANUUCGAUGCAACGCGAAAAACCUUACCUGCUCUUGACAUGUACCGAACCUCUGAGAGAUUAGAGGGUGCCCGAAAGGGAGCGGUAACACAGGUGCUGCAUGGCUGUCGUCAGCUCGUGUCGUGAGAUGUUGGGUUAAGUCCCGCAACGAGCGCAACCCUUGUCAUUAGUUGCCAUCAUGUCAAGCUGGGCACUCUAGAGAGACUGCCGAUGACAAAUCGGAGGAAGGUGGGGAUGACGUCAAAUCAUCAUGCCCCUUAUGAUCUGGGCUACACACGUGCUACAAUGGUCGGUACAACGGGCAGCCAAGGAGUAAUCUGGAGCCAAUCCCUUAAAGCCGAUCCCAGUUCGGAUUGUGGGCUGAAACUCGCCCACAUGAAGUUGGGGUUGCUAGUAAUCGCGGAUCAGAAUGCCGCGGUGAAUGCGUUCCCGGGUCUUGUACACACCGCCCGUCACACCAUGGAAGUUUGGGGGACCCGAAGCCAGUGAUCCAACCGUAAGGAGGAAGCUGUCGAAGGUAAGACAAAUGACUGGGGUGAAGUCGUAACAAGGUAGCCGUAUCGGAAGGUGCGGCUGGAUCACCUCCUU
rnacentral:rRNA from 1 species